AGCUCCAAAUCCCCAUUAAAGUGCCAAGAUGAGGGGGACAGCAUCCUCCCAGGGCAGCUGCCUGCAGGUGAUCACAUUCAGCGGCUGUGGCUUGGGCCAGCCCUGAGCAAGGACCUUCUGGCAAAAAGGACCCACAGCAUCCCCAAGAGCCUUGCAAAGGAGUUUCUCUGCUCAGCCCUGGUUCUCAUCCUCUUCUCACCCAGAAGGAGUGGAAAUGCUGCCAGCUCCAGCUCACAGCGUGCCAUUCUCCACCCGCUGGAAUGACUCUGCCAGUGACCAUGGGACCUCCACAGCAUUAGGGAGUGAUCAGUGAUUCACUGCAAUUGCUCAGGUUUCAGAGCCGUGGAUUAUCUUUAUAAAUGCCCCCAACACUGCUAUAGAUGAGCAGGAUUGGAAAGGUCUCUGUUCUUCAGGGAACUCCAGCAUCCUGUUUUGUCGCAUUCAUCUUCAGGCUAAUGAACAGUACCAACCUGCAUCCAGAGAAAAAUUAAAGCCACGGCUAAUGGUAGCAACGAAAUAAGUGGCAAAAGACUAAAUGUAAAUUGCUUUGAAAGCUGAUACGUUUUCAGUGUGACAUGAUAAUGCAAAAAUGUUGCCAGUGCUGCUAUUAUUUAUAAUUCCCCAAAUGUCUGAAUUCCCUCCAGCCAGCAUACAUUAAGCACAAUCCAGGGCAUAUGCCACAAAUCAUAUUCAAUGAUGAAAAGUCAGGAGAAAAGCAAGAGCUCAAUCUCUCUUGAUUACAGCAGCCAAAGAUUUCUUUUUCAUAGACUGCCAGUACUAAUGAAUGGAGAGGACACAAAAGGAAAACAAAAAUACUCAAUUCAAA